rnacentral:rRNA from 1 species
UACGUAGGGUGCGAGCGUUAAUCGGAAUUACUGGGCGUAAAGGGUGCGCAGGCGGUUCUGUAAGUCAGGUGUGAAAGCCCCGGGCUUAACCUGGGAAUGGCGCUUGAAACUAGAGGACUGGAGUAUGGCAGAGGGAGGUGGAAUUCCACGUGUAGCGGUGAAAUGCGUAGAGAUGUGGAGGAACACCGAUGGCGAAGGCGGCCUCCUGGGCCAAUACUGACGCUCAUGCACGAAAGCGUGGGGAGCAAACAGG